CCCAAUAAUCCUAAAAACCAAAAACUGAAAGAAAAUAAUUGAAUGGCAAAGAUGUCCUUUGGAAUGAAGGGAGACUCACCAACUGACUUAGAUUUGCUCACUGGAUCAAAAGUGCACCAAAUGCCAAUCCUAUUUACCUCAGUCAGCAUCAUGAUGGGAUGCAGGCCAACUAGCAUUUGUACAUUGAUUGAACGAGUAUGCGAGUUGGGAUGAUAAACAAAUACUUAAACUUGAAAAUAAAUAAGAAGGAUCACUUACCUUAACUCUGCUAAACUCAUGAAUAACUAAUUCAUUUAUAUAUAAAACAAUUUAAAACAAGUGCAAAAUAAAGAAAAAAUGGUUUUAAAAAUGUUGUAAAAUCGGAGAUAUAUGUAAAAAUUCAAAUAAACUGAUGUAUAUAAAAAUAAUUAGCUUUUGCAGGAUUUUCUCUAAUCGGUAACCAUCACUUAAAAACUAUAGUGAUGAUACAAUUAUCUACCUCAUGAUGCAAGCGCAUCAUCAGGUUGAUAGUUGUAUAAGACCCGAACUCCCUAAUGGAUCCACUAGUCUAUUGUCAAAAGGGAUCAUCUAAAAAGAUGACCCGUUUCUACCCAUGGUGGCUAUAUAAUUUUAAGAAAAAUUGAGUUAUAUAAACUCAUGCUCUUUCCCGAUUUGGUGCUGAAUACUACUCACAAAAUGUACUGGAGCUUAUUUUGUUAAAACAUGCUUCUUCUAUAUUUUGAGAUUAGUUUUCAAAACAUAGGACAAAUGCUAUCUUGGAAAUCUAAGUUUCCCUGUUUGAUUCAUUUUAUAAAUCUAGUACUCCUUUUUGAAAACUAGCCCGAAGGAUCAUCAGAAAUUAAAGUUCUUGAUGAAUCCUUGAUCUUUCUCUCUUUCUUCACUUUCUUUUCUCUUCUCUCCAAGCCCCAAGUGUAAAAUAACUUUUCUAGUCUUAACUAAAACUUAUUUGUACCCCAAAUAAAUCGCUACAACAAAAUAGGAAAUAAAUGAGUAAAAAGACUAGUUUGCCCUUCCUUAAUUCCGUAAUUGGACUUUCCUCACUUCAGCAACCCAACUUUUGAUAGACAUAUCUCCCUCAUACGAUAUCAAAAAUUCACAAAUUCAUCCGCGUUGGAAAGAUCUCUCCAACGGAUUUCAAACCAUAUCAAGAACUGGCUCUUACUUUGAAAAUUUUCCAGAUUUUCCCUUUUUUCAAAAGUGAUAAUGUUUAGUUUCUUAACUUAUUCCUAUCUAUUUCGAAUUACGAGAUUUUACAGGUUUGUAGUAGGAACUCACUUUCGGGGUCAUGAAAAUUCUUAAUAUGCCUAUUGAUAUAUCCAAAAUAACCAAUAUAAAUAUGUGAUUAUAUAAUUUAAGUUAUUGAUACAACCAUACUUAUUGGAUCCUUCACAUCUUAAAGUAUGCAAAUGACAAAGUUCAAACAAGCUACAAUUAAGGCCAAUUCCAAUAUCUUAGAACUCUUACACAAUAUAUUUUCACUUACCAUACAUUUUUAGAAUUUUUAACUUUAAAAAUAUAUUUAUUUUAGCAUAUACUUUAGGACUCGUUAUUAUUAGUUCUCCUAAUAAUUUUUACGAUAUAUUUUAUAACUACUUUAUUAUUCAAUUUUCUAAUUCAUAUUGCCAUUAAUUAUCCACCUCCUCUUACAAUAAUGUCACGACCCAAUCCACCAGGUCGUGCGAGUACCCGCUCUUACACCUAAGUAGGAGAACCGUCAUAUCUCAAGGUUUAUUCAUGAGGAAACUUCAACAAACUAAAUAUAGUGUAGAGUAAAAUCUUUAUUACAAGCUCUUAUUCAUGCACUAGUUAAAACAUGUAAAGUAACAUGUGUUGUUCAUCUUUUAUCUGUAAGAUACUUAGAAAAAAACUUUGAAGAACUUGUUAAAACACAACAAAGUUUAAAAACAUUUUCACAAGUAGAAAAGUUAAACUAGUAUAGAAACUAGAAUCAGCACAAAAAAAUUUGUGUAACAAAAUAAUAAAUCAUAAUGUAUUUUAAAUCUGUCACUUGAGAAAAUAUGUGUUGUUAUAAUACGGAGACACCAUUUAAAAUUUAUAAAUUUAAAAUUUGAACUUGUAUUGGGUUUACUAUAAUUCAUAAAUUUAUUUAUUUCUUUUUGGAAUAGAAACAAUCUCAAAAAACUAAGACAAAUACAAUUACCAUCUAGCAAAAAAUACACGAAGAGAAUCAACAUCAUAUAUCCCCAUAAUGGUAUUUUGGAAUAUGCUGAUUGCAUUUAAUGCUCUAGAUUAUUGUAAAUACAUGUAAAUACCAUUGACUGUAAAUACUAAAUUAACUAUUAUAAUUGAAAUUUAAUGACACAAGAAAUCUUAAAAGUUGACAUUUAUUACAUUCAAGAGUAUUGUGGCAUCAAAGACUUUAGUUAUUGAAUGAUUGCUUUCCUGGUUGAAGCUAUGGGACACAAGAAGUUCAUUCAAACCCGUUCCGCUUUAAAUUAUAUAUACACACACACUAGAUUUACCGCAUGUGCGCUGCACGUGGUUUCUACGUAUGGAGUUUGUCACAGUCAUGUUUUCGUUUCACCGCAGUCUGUCAAGCGUAGUGGUGGACUUGUGUGCGUGUGGGAGUAUUUCGAAGAUGUGUUGUUUUGUUUUUUUCUGGAUUUUCGUUUGCGGUUUGUACCAGGCCUUUUACUUGUUCGCUGUCUUCUGCUUUUAUCAAGUUGUAGUCAAACUGAGGAGUGUUGUCUUCAUUUUGUCUUAUAGUUGAUUCGUGACUUGAAUUUUUCAAAGGCUCUUAGGAGUGUGUGUUAUAGUAACGUGUAACCGGGGUUAUAGAAUAUCAAGGGGUAGGUACGCUUUUUUUUUCCUGGUGUUGUAUAUUUAUUAUGAUAUUGGUUUUUGUUUAUUGCAAAAUAUGCAUUCUUUUUUUAAUGAUUGGAUAUUUAGUAGCUUUGUCUUUCGUGGGAUACUUUUUUGCGAUUUUUUGCAAUGCUAGACUUGGAAGCCAUUUUUCGGGAUUGUGUUUAGUUUUUAAGGAUUGUGAUUACGUGAUGUGCAUGGGUGGCAGACAUGUAUGUGUAGUGUUUAGAUAUGUAUUGAGUGAAAAGGUUUUUGUUAAUAUACAUUACAGUAUUACAUAACAUUACUGUGUAAUUCUGUAUUCAUUACGCUAUGUCUAGCCACCUAAAACUCAACUUGGUUGUUGUUAUAUGACAUGUAUGGUAGUGUGUCUUAUUGUUAAUGUUUUCCUACAUUAUUUCUUAGUAACCACUUGUGUCAGAAUUAACAGUAUGGCGUAUUAGUUAUGGUUUGUCCUAAUCAGCACGUCCCUGUUCACUAUUAUUUAAUCAUUGUACUGUAUAGUUUUUUACUGUAAUACACACAAAAGUAAUGUCUUCUUUCUUAAUCAAAUCUCUUCAUGUACAUCCUUGUGGAUAAUAUUUCUUGUGUUGUACCCUGGUGUCAAUCGGGUUGUUUAGUCAUGACCAAUACUUUUAUUUUUGCCAUAGAUAUUCCUUCGAAAUGUGCUACGUACAAUUGAUCUUGGAAGAAAACAUAUUGUGGUAGGUACAAUCCAACAUUUGGUAUUGUAUGACCUUGUGCCUUAUUUAUUGUCAUUGUAAAACAUUAACAUAUUAGAAAUUAUUCUGAAGAAAUUUGAAAGGAUAACCUUCAUUCUCGGGCGGUGAUAGUUGUAUUCUCAGAAUAAACACUUGCUUGUUAGCCUAUUCACCUGUUGUUAUUUUGGCAUGUAUGAAAUUGUUGUCAAAACCCCUACCAAUCAAUCGCGUACCAUUGCACAAACCAUUUGUAGGGUCUAAAUUUCUCAACAUCGUUAUGGGCGCAUUUUUUUAGUACUAACCUACGAUAUACAAUGUAAUCAUUCAUCAAUAUAUACAUAUUAGUGAUUAUACAAUAUUUUAUUGCCGAUCUGCGCUAUGAGCUAGCAUAAUAAUAAGAGAUAUGUGGUUGUUUUGAUGUAUGAGAUAAUGUACUUAUAACGUGGUAGUCCAUUUGAUAUUAAGAUUUUUCAACAACUUCAAAACAUGACGGAAGUUGCCUCUAAACACCAUGAUUUUACCUCCAAAAGGGGUAUGCAAAAUCUUGAUUGUGUUGUAUGGCCUCCAUUCAAUAUUGUUGCUUCCACACCACUGGUCGUAGAUGCCAAUGCUAUCGUACCUUCUUAUCUAACCUUGGCCAGUAAUGCCCGAUACAUAAAAGCCUUCCCGGUUCCCCCAGGCACAUCUACAAAGAACAAUCCUGAUUUAUUUGAGUUUACACUUUCGAGAAAGGUACAUUGGAGUGGUGCCUCGUUUUUGCAUGAAUGGUACCUUCGAAAGUCUUUAGACAUAUCAGUGUAAUAUGUGUCCUAGAGAUUUCACACAUCCAUUGGGUUGCAAUGCACUAAUAUUGUAGUGAAUAGACUUUGAAGAGCGGCGGACAUCUUGAAGGUGACAACCUCUCGUAAAUAUUCUAAAAUGUUGUUAUCUGAUUCUAAUAGCCCUCUUUCUUUGGCUGCCUCUUCGAAAGUUUGACAUUGCUUUCCAUAAUAGUGAGUAAGUAUUCAUAUGACGUGACUGCUCUUAAAAUGACGUGACUACUCUUAAAUGAUUAAAAAUACUCUUUCGUAAUACCUUUCUCCUUCUUUAGAAUUCGGUGCAUUAUUUAGUUGAUUAACUUAGUAUCUUCAUUUUGUGACAUGAAUUAAAAUAGGCUUUAAUUGUAAUGGUCUUAACAAUAUUUAUGCGGCUAAUGAUUGUGCGCGGUUUUCUUUUUAUCCAUAUUUAUGAUUGGGAGUUCCAUACAUAAUGCUUUGCGAAUUCUUGAUAAAGAUAAAUGUAAGUGUCAAUGUCUAUAGACCACGUCCUAAACUACUUUGUAACCAUAGUUUGGGUUACAAAUUUUGAUCCCACAAUAGUUUUUAGAUUUUUAUUCUUUCAGUAGCAGACUACAUAUUGUUUUGUAAGAAUUAUAUGAAGUCUCGCACUUUCUCUGUUUUAAUCUGUUUAUAUCUAUUCUAUGUCCUAAUAUUGUAAAAUACCUGCUUGCUUCCCUUGAAGAUGUUAUUGUAGGCUGAUAACAUCUUAUUACAUUUUGGAUAAUUUAAACUCAUAUAUUUUCUACAUUGCUUCUGGUGCUGACACGCAACGUGCAUCUGGAAAACGUCUGAUUUAAAAAUAUUUCCCAUUGUCAGUUUCUAUAUAUACAACAUAUUUAUCAUUUCCUUUAUAUAUCUACACAUAUUUGUACAUAUACUUUAUCCCUUUAACUCGUGAUCAUACUUCAACAUUAAUGUGGCAGUUAUAUCGCAUCAACAAAUAUGGGAAAUAAGGUACCACACAUUGAUUAUUCAUCUUUGUGCCACGUACCUCACUUGUGUUCCCAUCGUUUCGUCUUUUGUAAAUCAGAUAUCCAUCCUUUCCUUGUAUUUUCAUUGAAGGUUCGGUAAUAGUGAAAUUUACACUGUCUAUUAUUCAUAGAUGGGCUGCUCUUACGUUUCUCCCCACAAGGGUCAUGCAUCAUAUGCUUGAUAACUAAUGCCCUUAAUUGUAGAUGUGUGACAUUAUUAAGGACUUCAGCACAAAUGUAUCUGUCAUACUCAUCUGUUGAUUGUAUCUUCUUCUUUAAAUAGUAGAAGUAGGUGUAUAUGUGGUAAGCCUCUCUUAUGAAAUUCUACCACUAAAACAUGUGUUGCAAUAGGUCCAAAUAUUUCUUUCUUGAAAAUGUUAUAGUCCAAGUAUUGCAAUUUAUGUCUAAACACUCUGGUAACCAGAUCAGGUCUCUCUUGAGGUAGUUUUCCUGGACGCAAUUCUUCUUUAAUUUCAACCCAAUUUGGAAUACAUAUCAUGGUGAUGAAUAGAUCUAGUCUCCCAAAUUCUUCGACCAAAGCCAUCGCAUCAAUAUGUCGUCGCCUCAUAUUCCUAGGUUCUCCAAUAAACGAUCCUAGUAGUAAUACCCUUUGUCCAAACUUGUCUCCUCUAUACUCACCAGCACUUACACUAUCAACAAUACCUUAUAGUAUCUCCCUUCGAUAACUUGAUUGCUCGAAUCUAUAAUAUUCAAGUAUGGCUGUUUCUAUCUUAAUGUAAAUGUCAAUAACGAACUAAUGGAACAAUCUUUCACACUGUGUAAUAUGAAUUCGUCACCUGAUCGUACUUGUAAUUUAUAACAUUAGCACAACCUACAGGACACCAAACCUUUUAUGUCACGUUGCACACCUAUAUGAAUUUUGUAGAAGUAAGCUUAGAUUAUUUAUCCAUAUAAGUUUAUCAAUAGUUGUAUAUUUUCAACAGUUUGUAAUAUGUUAGUCAGAAAAAAAUUAUUUUUUCUUGGCUAUAUUUAAAAGUGCUUACCUUGUGCUUCAUUGGCCAAGAUCCCCACAACAGUUGUGAAUAAUGGUCUACUUGUCUUGAUACUUGUAAUUGUAGCUGUUUUGAUGUUGUUGAUUCUAUUGUGACAUUUCUGUAUUCCUUGAUGCCACCUUCUUCUCCUUUGGGCAGUAUUAUAGAAUAAUGUAGCGGAUCAUAAUACCCAUAAUAAUGUUUUACGCGAUGUUUAUUUCACGAGUGCUCAUGUACAACAAUAUCUCUAUCAAAUGGUAUAUUUGGAUUGUUGCCGUCUACCCAAAUUGCAGCAACCUGAUACACUGAGGGCUUGUUAUAGACACUUUGAUCUAAUGAAGCAUUUGCGGCUAUGCAUAUUUCUAUAUUUUGUAAGUUUAUAUGUUCUUUAAGUUGGGUGAAGGAUUCUACAUAUGGAUUCCUCUCCAUUAUAUUUCUUAUUUUUGUCAUGAGUUCCUAUAACAAAUUGACAUCUUGUAGUACUGAGAUUCUAUUGUCUAAUUCAUGGUCCGUAUCAUAAAAGUAUAGUUGACUGUAUCAUGGUCUAUCAUUCUUUCGGAGUAAAGAUGGUAGAUCAUCAUAUAUCUGACCUUUUGCCUUUAAAAUGUAAACUCCUUUCCUAAAAGAUGCCAAGUCUUUAUCGAUCUUAACUCCAAAUGAUGUAAAAGCAAAUAUUCUAUUAUACGCAUGUAAC